rnacentral:rRNA from 1 species
AUGCCUGUGAAGACAAACUUGAUGCAAACUCGUUUGACGCAAGUGUUUGAUCGUGAUGGAGUUAAGGAGAAGAAAACUGUUUUGGAGAGGAAGAUGUCAGAUCGAAAUCCUGAUGGCACACAGAGGCGUAGUCCACGUGUGAAAGCUGUUUCCCAACCUGAUAAUAGCAAAGCUGAUGCGGAUAGUUUUGCUGUGAAAAUUGGUCCAAGCAAACUUGGUGGCUCCUCUGUUCGUCGGAGUCCACGAGGUUUGACAAAUAUGAAGCCUUCUUCGUCUCCUCUUCAAGAGCGGUCUUUGUUGAAAGAAAAUAAGAAGCGUAAAGUUCAUCCUGCAAAAGUGAACAAAGGUGUGAAGAAGCAUGCUCGUGUUGAAGCUGAAGAUUCUGCAUCUGAAGAAGAUGAUAUUGAAGUUGAUUCAGAAGAUGAAUUUGCAGUGCAUGUUAGCGUCAUGAGUCCGGUCAAGCCGGUGGGAGGCAAUGCCGGAAAAGUUGCCUUGGAUGAAGGUGACCAACGGAAAUUGAACUUAACUGUGCGAUGUUCGUUGAGAGAGGUUGAAGAUUGUGCUAAAUUGCUCGAGUGGAGGGUGAAGUCUAACAUUUCCCGCCCUCUGAUGUGA